AACAAACUGGAUGUCUGGUCUGAAGAUGAACUAGAUUGUCUCUGGAUUGGUGUACGUAGACAUGGAAGGGGCAAUUGGGAUGCCAUGCUGCGAGAUACGAAGUUAAAAUUUUCCAAGUAUAGAACUCCUGAGGAUUUAUCAAUUAGGUGGGAAGAAGAGCAGCUCAAGAUCAUGGAUGGACCAGCAUUAUCUGCGCCGAAACCAUCCAAGCCUACCAAAGUGGGAAAAUCAGGCUUAUUCUCAGGCAUUUCCGAUGGAAUGAUGGCUCGAGCAUUGCAUGGUUGUAAACUAAAUAAACAGUUUUUACCAACUCACCUAACAGACAUGAAACUAGGGUUACGUGAUCUGCCUUCCAGCUUUCCACAUUUGGAACCUCCUGAGAGACUUGAU
rnacentral:misc_RNA from 1 species